UGAGCUUGAUCCUGGCUCAGGACGAACGCUGGCGGCGUGCCUAAUACAUGCAAGUCGAGCGCAGGAAGCCGGCGGAUCCCUUCGGGGUGAAGCCGGUGGAAUGAGCGGCGGACGGGUGAGUAACACGUGGGCAACCUACCUUGUAGACUGGGAUAACUCCGGGAAACCGGGGCUAAUACCGGAUGAUCAUUUGGAUCGCAUGAUCCGAAUGUAAAAGUGGGGAUUUAUCCUCACACUGCAAGAUGGGCCCGCGGCGCAUUAGCUAGUUGGUAAGGUAAUGGCUUACCAAGGCGACGAUGCGUAGCCGACCUGAGAGGGUGAUCGGCCACACUGGAACUGAGACACGGUCCAGACUCCUACGGGAGGCAGCAGUAGGGAAUCAUCCGCAAUGGGCGAAAGCCUGACGGUGCAACGCCGCGUGAACGAUGAAGGUUUUCGGAUCGUAAAGUUCUGUUAUGAGGGAAGAACAAGUGCCGUUCGAAUAGGUCGGCACCUUGACGUACC
rnacentral:rRNA from 1 species